CUUCUGCAAUGCGCGAAAGCGUGACAGAGCAAGCCAAAGUGCAUUCCCGUAUUGGGAACGCUUUUGUGAGAUGUAAAAGUCUCACGAAUAAGGACCGGGCAAGACUGGUGCCAGCCGCCGCGGUAAUACCAGCGGUCCAAGUCGCAAUCUGCUUUAUUGGGUCUAAAACAUCCGUAGCUUGUUCAGUCAGUCUCUUGUGAAAUCUCAUUUCUCAAGAAUGGAAGUGCGAGAGAUACUGCUGAGCUAGAGACCGGGAGACGUAAGAAGUACGAUUUAGGGUAACGUAAAAUGUGUUGAUCCUUAUCGGACUAACAAUAGCGAAGGCAUCUUACGAGAACGG
rnacentral:rRNA from 1 species